GGAUGAUCAGCCACACUGGAACUGAGACACGGUCCAGACUCCUACGGGAGGCAGCAGUGGGAAAUAUUGCACAAUGGGCGCAAGCCUGAUGCAGCCAUGCCGCGUGUAUGAAGAAGGCCUUCGGGUUGUAAAGUACUUUCAGUGGUGAGGAAGGUUAUGUAUUUAAUAGAUGCGUAGCUUGACGUUAGCCACAGAAGAAGCACCGGCUAACUCCGUGCCAGCAGCCGCGGUAAUACGGAGGGUGCGAGCGUUAAUCGGAAUUACUGGGCGUAAAGCGCAUGCAGGUGGUCUGUUAAGUCAGAUGUGAAAGCCCGGGGCUUAACCUCGGAAUAGCAUUUGAAACUGUCAGACUAGAGUACUGUAGAGGGGGGUAGAAUUUCAGGUGUAGCGGUGAAAUGCGUAGAGAUCUGAAGGAAUACCGGUGGCGAAGGCGGCCCCCUGGACAGAUACUGACACUCAGAUGCGAAAGCGUGGGGAGCAAACAGGAUUAGAUACCCUGGUAGUCCACGCCGUAAACGAUGUCUACUUGGAGGUUGUGGCCUUGAGCCGUGGCUUUCGGAGCUAACGCGUUAAGUAGACCGCCUGGGGAGUACGGUCGCAAGAUUAAAACUCAAAUGAAUUGACGGGGGCCCGCACAAGCGGUGGAGCAUGUGGUUUAAUUCGAUGCAACGCGAAGAACCUUACCUACUCUUGACAUCUACAGAAGCUUGCGGAGACGCGAGUGUGCCUUCGGGAACUGUAAGACAGGUGCUGCAUGGCUGUCGUCAGCUCGUGUUGUGAAAUGUUGGGUUAAGUCCCGCAACGAGCGCAACCCUUAUCCUUGUUUGCCAGCACAUAAUGGUGGGAACUCCAGGGAGACUGCCGGUGAUAAACCGGAGGAAGGUGGGGACGACGUCAAGUCAUCAUGGCCCUUACGAGUAGGGCUACACACGUGCUACAAUGGCACAUACAGAGGGCAGCCAACUUGCAAAAGUGAGCGAAUCCCAAAAAGUGUGUCGUAGUCCGGAUCGGAGUCUGCAACUCGACUCCGUGAAGUCGGAAUCGCUAGUAAUCGUGGAUCAGAAUGCCACGGUGAAUACGUUCCCGGGCCUUGUACACACCGCCCGUCACACCAUGGGAGUGGGCUGCAAAAGAAGUAGGUAGUUUAACCUUCGGGGGGACGCUUACCACUUUGUGGUUCAUGACUGGGGUGAAGUCGUAACAAGGUA
rnacentral:rRNA from 1 species